rnacentral:rRNA from 1 species
UACGUAGGGUGCGAGCGUUAAUCGGAAUUACUGGGCGUAAAGUGUGCGCAGGCGGCCAUGCAAGUCGAGUGUGAAAUCCCUAGGCUCAACCUAGGAACUGCACUCGAAACUACCUUCCUUGAGUGUCGGAGAGGAAAGCGGAAUUCCUGGUGUAGAGGUGAAAUUCGUAGAUAUCAGGAGGAACACCAGUGGCGAAGGCGGCUUUCUAGACGAUAACUGACGCUGAGACGCGAAAGCGUGGGGAGCAAACAGA